rnacentral:rRNA from 1 species
GUGCUAAGGUAGCAUAAUCAUUUGCUACUUAAUUGGUAGCUGGAAUGAAAGGUUAAACUAGCUUACUCAGCUUGUUGUGUUUUGUAAGAAAUUAAAGUCGAGGUAAGAAUUCUUUGAUCUGCUAGGGGACGAUAAGACCCUAGAAGCUUAAUAAUAAGAGUAUUUAUUAGUCAUAAAAAUUAAUUUGUUUUACUGGGGCGGUAAAGGCAUAUAAACUAUUAGUGUAUUGAUAGAUCCUUAAAAUAAAGAUAAAAAGGGAAAGUUACUCUAGGGGU